AAUUCACAAUGGGGGCAACCCUGAUGGUGCAACGCCGCGUGGAGGAUGAAGGUCUUCGGAUUGUAAACUCCUGUCAUCUGGGAGUAAGACCUGGCUGUGAAUAGCAGACAGGGUUGAUAGUACCAGAAGAGGAAGGGACGGCUAACUUCGUG
rnacentral:rRNA from 1 species